rnacentral:rRNA from 1 species
UUGGAGGGCAAGUCUGGUGCCAGCAGCCGCGGUAAUUCCAGCUCCAAUAGCGUAUAUUAAAGUUGUUGCAGUUAAAAAGCUCGUAGUUGAACUUCGGAAUCAAUGGAUUGGUCAUGCCGUUGGUAUGUACUGGUCAUAUUGGUUCUCACCUUCUAAGGAACCAUAAUGUCAUUCAUUUGAUGUUUUGGGGAAUUAGGACUGUUACCUUGAAAAAAUUAGAGUGUUUAAAGCAGGCUAACGCUUGAAUACAUUAGCAUGGAAUAAUGAAAUAGGACAUCGCAUUCUAUUUUGUUGGUUUCUAGGAUCGCCGUAAUGAUUAAUAGGGAUAGUUGGGGGCAUUAGUAUUCAAUUGUCAGAGGUGAAAUUCUUGGAUUUAUUGAAGACUAACUACUGCGAAAGCAUUUGCCAAGGAUGUUUUCAUUAAUCAAGAACGAAAGUUAGGGGAUCGAAGACGAUCAGAUACCGUCGUAGUCUUAACCAUAAACUAUGCCGACUAGGGAUCGGAUGAUGUUAAUUUUUUAAUGACUCAUUCGGCGCCUUACGGGAAAC